ACUCAAGUAUCACUUUCUAUGAAGUGCUGGUGGCGGUGUGAGUUAAGCGUGGAAGUACCGAACUUGUAAAAGCAGAGCAUGCGAUUGUUGCUGGGUAUUCAACAACUCAUGGCUUCUCACACUCUCAUAUCCUCUUCUUCUCUUCGCAUCACAAAUUCAAUGCCCAUCAAGUGUGUUCCCUCCUCCUUCACUCCCACUAAAGCCUUCUCCUUUCUCUCACUCUCUCUUUCCACAACUACAACAACAAUCCCUACUAAAUCAUUCCAAGUGAGGUCAGUUGCUGCUCCAACAGAAUCUGUAGCAGGGUUUGAUGACAUGGUUUCUGGCACUCAGAGGAAGUAUUACAUGCUAGGCGGGAAAGGGGGAGUCGGGAAGACAAGCUGCGCCGCUUCGCUUGCUGUAAAAUUCGCCAAUAAUGGACACCCCACACUCGUGGUUUCCACUGAUCCAGCACAUUCUUUGAGUGAUUCUUUUGCUCAGGAUCUGACUGGGGGACAAUUGGUGCCGGUGGAAGGACCUGAUUAUCCACUUUUUGCUCUUGAAAUAAACCCAGAGAAGGCUAGGGAAGAGUUUCGCAAUGCAACCAAGAAAAAUGGCGGAACUGGAGUCAAAGACUUUAUGGAUGGCAUGGGUCUUGGAAUGAUUGUAGAGCAGUUAGGAGAGCUAAAACUCGGAGAAUUGUUGGAUACACCACCUCCUGGAUUGGAUGAAGCCAUUGCAAUUUCCAAGGUUAUGCAAUUUCUUGAAUCACAGGAAUAUAGUAUGUUUACUCGAAUAGUAUUUGAUACGGCACCCACGGGUCAUACAUUACGGCUCCUUUCCUUGCCCGAUUUCUUGGAUGCAUCCAUUGGGAAGAUACUAAAGCUACGGCAAAAGAUAGCUUCUGCUACCUCAGCAAUUAAAUCGGUGUUUGGUCAAGAGGAAACUCAACAAGCCGCCGCUGAUAAAUUGGAGAAACUUAGGGAGAGGAUGAUAAAAGUGCGUGAACUCUUUCGUGACACUGAUGCAACAGAAUUUGUUAUUGUCACAAUCCCCACGGUGAUGGCAGUUAGUGAAUCGUCUAGACUGAGUGCCUCCUUGAAGAAGGAAAAUGUUCCCGUUAAGAGACUUAUCGUCAAUCAGAUUCUGCCGCCCUCAGCAUCUGAUUGCAAGUUUUGUGCCAUGAAAAGAAAGGAUCAAAUGCGAGCUCUUGAUAUGAUCCAGAAUGAUCCUGAGCUAGCCAGCCUAACAAUGAUCCAGGCACCGCUUGUUGAUGUCGAGAUAAGAGGCGUUCCAGCUCUCAAAUUUUUGGGUGACAUUAUUUGGAAAUGAUUAUAACAUAGUUCUAAAUGCAAUGAUUUCCGAUUUCCGGUCGAGAUGUAAAAGUUCCGGUACUGGAAGUCCUUUAGAUGCAAUGCACUGUCUUAGAACACUUAUACAAGCUAGAGCUUCAGAAACUGAAAACAACUUGUCAAUACUUGUGUAAAUUUUCCAUCUUCUUUAAAUCUUUUUCUUUGAUCAUUAUUUUGAGGAAGAGAGCCAAAACGAGAGGGGGGAGGGGGUCUCAAUCAUGUGUAAGUUUUCACUGUAUACUAGCAAGAAAUAUCAGUUAUUGGAGCAACAAUUGCAAAUGCAAUAGUGGAAGUUGUUUUUUUU